AUUGAACGCUGGCGGCAGGCCUAACACAUGCAAGUCGAGCGGAAGAAGGGAGCUUGCUCCUGGAUUCAGCGGCGGACGGGUGAGUAAUGCCUAGGAAUCUGCCUGGUAGUGGGGGAUAACGUCCGGAAACGGGCGCUAAUACCGCAUACGUCCUGAGGGAGAAAGUGGGGGAUCUUCGGACCUCACGCUAUCAGAUGAGCCUAGGUCGGAUUAGCUAGUUGGUGGGGUAAAGGCUUACCAAGGCGACGAUCCGUAACUGGUCUGAGAGGAUGAUCAGUCACACUGGAACUGAGACACGGUCCAGACUCCUACGGGAGGCAGCAGUGGGGAAUAUUGGACAAUGGGCGAAAGCCUGAUCCAGCCAUGCCGCGUGUGUGAAGAAGGUCUUCGGAUUGUAAAGCACUUUAAUAUGGGAGGAAGGGCAGUAAGUUAAUACCUUGCUGUUUUGACGUUACCAACAGAAUAAGCACCGGCUAACUUCGUG
rnacentral:rRNA from 1 species